GAUGAACGCUGGCGGCAUGCCUAAUACAUGCAAGUCGAGCGAACGGACGAGAAGCUUGCUUCUCUGAUGUUAGCGGCGGACGGGUGAGUAACACGUGGAUAACCUACCUAUAAGACUGGGAUAACUUCGGGAAACCGGAGCUAAUACCGGAUGAUAUUUUGAACCGCAUGGUUCAAAAGUGAAAGACGGUCUUGCUGUCACUUAUAGAUGGAUCCGCGCUGCAUUAGCUAGUUGGUAAGGUAACGGCUUACCAAGGCAACGAUGCAUAGCCGACCUGAGAGGGUGAUCGGCCACACUGGAACUGAGACACGGUCCAGACUCCUACGGGAGGCAGCAGUAGGGAAUCUUCCGCAAUGGGCGAAAGCCUGACGGAGCAACGCCGCGUGAGUGAUGAAGGUCUACGGAUCGUAAAACUCUGUUAUUAGGGAAGAACAUAUGUGUAAGUAACUGUGCACAUCUUGACGGUACCUAAUCAGAAAGCCACGGCUAACUACGUG
rnacentral:rRNA from 1 species